rnacentral:rRNA from 1 species
UGACGAGCACGCCGCGUGAGUGAGAGGUUUUCGGAUCGUAAAGCUCUGUUGUAAGAGAAGAACGAGUGUGAGAGUGGAAAGUUCACACUGUGACGGUAUCUUACCAGAAAGGGACGGCUAACUACGUGCCAGCAGCCGCGGUAAUACGUAGGUCCCGAGCGUUGUCCGGAUUUAUUGGGCGUAAAGCGAGCGCAGGCGGUUAGAUAAGUCUGAAGUUAAAGGCUGUGGCUUAACCAUAGUACGCUUUGGAAACUGUUUAACUUGAGUGCAGAAGGGGAGAGUGGAAUUCCAUGUGUAGCGGUGAAAUGCGUAGAUAUAUGGAGGAACACCGGUGGCGAAAGCGGCUCUCUGGUCUGUAACUGACGCUGAGGCUCGAAAGCGUGGGGAGCGAACA